ensembl:lncRNA
GUGGGGCAGGAGGUUAGGCCAAACCAGCAGCGCCAGGUGGAGGUCUGGCUGUUGGACUCCUCCAUAGGCUGCUCCUCAGGAAUGGCCUUGUUUUUGUUCUUCUCAGUCCUGACAGGGCAGGAGGUUAGGCCUAACCAGCAGCGCCAGGUGGAGGUCUGGCUGUUGGACUCCUCCAUAGGCUGCUCCUCAGGAAUGGCCUUGUUUUUGUUCUUCUCAGUCCUGACAGGGCAGGAGGUUAGGCCUAACCAGCAGCGCCAGGUGGAGGUCUGGCUGUUGGUCUCCUCCAUAGACUGCUCCUCAGGAAGGGACUCAUUGUUGUUGUUCUCCUCAGUUCUGACAGGGCAGGACAUUAGGCCUAGCCAGCAGCGCCAGGUGGAGGUCUGGCUGUUGGUCUCCUCCAGAGGCUGCUCCUCAGGAAG